CGGAGAGCCGCGGGACUGAGUGGCGGACGGGUGAGUAACGCGUGGGCAACCUGCCCCGUACAGGGGGAUAACAGCCGGAAACGGCUGCUAAUACCGCAUAAGCGCACAGCGCCGCAUGGCGCGGUGUGAAAAGCUCCGGCGGUACGGGAGGGGCCCGCGUCUGAUUAGGCAGUUGGCGGGGCAGCGGCCCACCAAACCGACGAUCAGUAGCCGGCCUGAGAGGGCGGCCGGCCACAUUGGGACUGAGACACGGCCCAAACUCCUGCGGGAGGCAGCAGUGGGGAAUUUUCGUCAAUGGGCGCAAGCCUGAACGAGCAAUGCCGCGUGAACGAGGAAGGUCUUCGGAUCGUAAAGUUCUGUUGAAGGGGAAAAAGAGCGGAGAGAGGAAAUGGUCUCCGAUUGAUAUUACCCUUCGAGGAAGUCACGGCUAACUACGUGCCAGCAGCCGCGGUAAUACGUAGGUGGCGAGCGUUAUCCGGAAUGAUUGGGCGUAAAGGGUGCGUAGGCGGCCUGCUAAGUCUGGAGUGAAAGGUACCGGCUCAACCGGUACAGGCUUUGGAAACUGGCGGGCUAGAGAGCAGGAGAGGGCGGUGGAACUCCAUGUGUAGCGGUAAAAUGCGUAGAUAUAUGGAAGAACACCAGUGGCGAAGGCGGCCGCCUGGCCUGUUACUGACGCUGAGGCACGAAAGCGUGGGGAGCAAAUAGGAUUAGAUACCCUAGUAGUCCACGCCGUAAACGAUGAGGGCCAAGUGUUGGGGAAGACCCAGUGCUGCAGUUAACGCAGUGAGUCCUCCGCCUGGGGAGUAUGCACGCAAGUGUGAAACUCAAAGGAAUUGACGGGGGCCCGCACAAGCGGUGGAGUAUGUGGUUUAAUUUGAAGCAACGCGAAGAACCUUACCAGGCCUUGACAUAGGGUGCGAAGCUAUGGAGACAUAGUGGAGGUAAACAUCCAUACAGGUGGUGCAUGGUUGUCGUCAGCUCGUGUCGUGAGAUGUUCAGUUAAGUCUGGCAACGAGCGCAACCCUCGUGAUGUGUUACCAAUAUCGAGUUAGGGACUCACAUCAGACUGCCGGUGAGAAACCGGAGGAAGGCGGGGAGGACGUCAAAUCAUCAUGCCCCUUAUGGCGUGGGGUACACACGUACUACAAUGGCGGCGACAGAGGGCAGCGAGCCUGCGAAGGCAAGCGAAUCCCAAAAAAGCCGUCCCAGUUCGGAUUGGAGUCUGCAACCCGACUCCAUGAAGUUGGAAUCGCUAGUAAUCGCGGAUCAGCAUGCCGCGGUGAAUACGUUCUCGGGCCUUGCACUCACCGCCCGU
rnacentral:rRNA from 1 species